rnacentral:tRNA from 1 species
AAGGGUGUAGCUCAGUGGUAGAGCACAUGCUUAGCAUGCAUGAGGUCCUGGGUUCAAUCCCUAGCACCUUCA